AGAGUUUGAUCAUGGCUCAGGACUAACGCUGGCGGCGUGCCUAACACAUGCAAGUCGAACGAAGGUAGCAAUACCUUAGUGGCAGACGGGUGAGUAACACGUAGUCAACCUUCCUUUUAGUGGGGGAUAACUAGCCGAAAGGUUAGCUAAUACCGCAUACGAUCGUAGAGUGGCAUCACUUAACGAUGAAAGCAGCAAUG
rnacentral:rRNA from 1 species